UACCUACGGGUGGCUGCAGUCGAGAAUCUUCGGCAAUGAGCGCAAGCUUGACCGAGCGACGCCGCGUGCGGGAUGAAGGCCUUCGGGUUGUAAACCGCUGUCGUAGGGGAGCAAGAGAUGAGGGUACUCCCUCUGAUUUGAGCGAUCCUAGGAGGAAGGACGGGCUAAGUUCGUGCCAGCAGCCGCGGUAAGACGAACCGUCCAAACGUUAUUCGGUAUCACUGGGCUUAAAGAGUUCGUAGGCGGCUCCGUAGGUGAGGUGUGAAAUCCCUCGGCUCAACCGAGGAAUUGCGCUUCAAACCGUGGAGCUUGAGGUAGACAGGGGUAAGCGGAACAGAUGGUGGAGCGGUGAAAUGCGUUGAUAUCAUCUGGAACACCGGUGGCGAAAGCGGCUUACUGGGUCUUUUCUGACGCUGAGGAACGAAAGCUAGGGUAGCGAACGGGAUUAGAUACCCUUGUAGUCCUC
rnacentral:rRNA from 1 species